CUGAUAAGGCAACAAUUAUUUUACGUCUCCAGCCCCCAUAACCACUACCCGAGAAGGGAGUGAGAACGAGAGACACCCCAGGGAUAUCAGAAGAAUAUACAAAAAGGGGACUGGAAGAGUCUACAGAAGGGGAGGCCUCGGUAUUUGUGUUAGAAGCCAUAGUCAAUGAACCGGCUUAAAAGAACAACUUUUCAACAAACAGA
rnacentral:lncRNA from 1 species